GUCAUUGUUUCUUCUCCGAGAAAAGAAGUUGACGACCCGUAGGCCUUCCACCUCCACACGACAUUGCUCCAUUAGGCUUUCGCCCAUUGCGGAAAAUUCCCCACUGCUGCCUCCCGUAGGAGUCUGGGCCGUGUCUCACUCCCAGUAUGGCUGAUCAUCCUCUCGGACCAGCUACUGAUCAUCGCCUUGGAGAUCGGAAGAG